rnacentral:rRNA from 1 species
GACGAACGCUGGCGGCGUGCCUAAUACAUGCAAGUUGAGCGCUGAAGGUUGGUACUUGUACCAACUGGAUGAGCAGCGAACGGGUGAGUAACGCGUGGGAAUCUGCCUUUGAGCGGGGGACAACAUUUGGAAACGAAUGCUAAUACCGCAUAAAAACUUUAAACACAAGUUUUAAGUUUGAAAGAUGCAAUUGCAUCACUCAAAGAUGAUCCCGCGUUGUAUUAGCUAGUUGGUGAGGUAAAGGCUCACCAAGGCGAUGAUACAUAGCCGACCUGAGAGGGUGAUCGGCCACAUUGGGACUGAGACACGGCCCAAACUCCUACGGGAGGCAGCAGUAGGGAAUCUUCGGCAAUGGACGAAAGUCUGACCGAGCAACGCCGCGUGAGUGAAGAAGGGUUUCGGAUCGUAAAACUCUGUUGGUAGAGAAGAACGUUGGUGAGAGUGGAAAGCUCAUCAAGUGACGGUAACUACCCAGAAAGGGACGGCUAACUACGUG